GCUCUAUAUGCAUUCCCAUUGUAAAUGGCCUCGUAACUUCACUUGAGCGAAAGCGUAAAUUCGGCAUUUCCGCCUUCGAGCCUCAUGCGGGUCCCGCUUCUCCCACGCUCACCUCCCCUUCCGGCCGUUGCUGCCGCCGCCAUGCCACCUCGCCGCCGCCGACGCAUCAGGCCGCCGCUCCCACCGUCCCCUCCACUCCUCACUUCGACCCCACCACCGGCGACGCCGCCCGUAGAGACCACCCCCAAAUCCGAGGCCCCUGACCACUGCCCUCCUCCCGCCCGCCGCCGCCUCCUCCCCCUCGUCGCCGCCGCGGCCGAGGCGGAAGGAGAUUGGCACCCGCUGCCGCUCUACCCCGCCGACCUGUCCCUCCCGCUCACCCUCCCCACCGGCCAGACCUUCCUUUGGCGCCGCACGUCCGUCUCCCCGCUCCGCUUCACCGGCGCCGUGGGAGCCCACCUCGUCUCCCUCUCCCACCUCCCCGACGGCCGCAUCGCCUUCCUCCUCCACAACGGUGGCCCCGGCGGCGGCAGCCCCUCCGCCGCCCGCGCGGCGCUCGCCGACUACCUCAACGCCGCCGUCCCGCUCGCCGACCUCUGGCGCCGGUUCGCCGCCGUGGACGCGCGCUUCGCCGAGGUCGCCGCGCGGCUCGGGGGCGGCGGCGCCCGGGUGCUCAGGCAGGACCCCGUCGAGUGCGUCUUCCAGUUCCUCUGCUCCUCGAACAACAACAUUGCGCGGAUCGAGAAGAUGGUGUGGACGCUGGCCGGCUACGGGGAGCGGCUCGGCGAGGUUGGAGGGUUCGUAUUCCACCAGUUCCCCACAAUCGAGCGGCUCGCGCGAUUGUCGGAGCAGGAGCUUCGGGAGGCCGGGUUCGGGUACAGGGCAAAGUACGUAGUUGGUACUGCUAAAAUAUUGCAGGCCAAGCCUGGUGGAGGCGAGAAAUGGCUUGCCUCAUUGCGUACAAGGGAACUCCCAGAGGUGAUUGAGGCUCUUUGCACCCUUCCAGGAGUUGGGCCAAAAGUUGCAGCCUGUGUUGCUCUGUUCUCACUUGACCAGAACCAUGCUAUUCCUAUCGAUACACAUGUUUGGAAGGUUGCUACACAAUAUCUGAUGCCAGAGCUAGCUGGCAAGAGCUUAACCCCAAAACUUAGUGUUGCUGUCGCUGAUGCAUUUGUUGCUAAAUUUGGGAGCUAUGCUGGUUGGGCACAGAAUGUUCUCUUCAUUGGCCAGCUAUCUGCUCAAAAACUCAUGGUGGCUGAAACUACAAUUGUUUCCACGAAACCUACUAAAAGGAAGCGUAGUGGAAACAAUUUCAAAACAUGACAAGAAAGGUCACACAUAGAAACAGUGUGAAGGUUGGCUUUUCAUAUGUUAUUUUUUCAGUAACCAUAACACGUUUGAACGUUCACUAGCUAAACUUGUGUUAUUUGUUGCAGGAAUAUCAAAUUAUUUAGCCAGUUUACACUAUAUUCUUCUCUAUGUUACAUUUAAUGGAAUUCUGAUUUGAUGAUGAGUCAUUAACAUGUAUGUCAUGGCUGUUCUGUCCACAGAUGGGACUUCCAUAAUCCUAGUGGCAUCAGCUGCUGAACUGCAGAUGUUGCUACCUUCCAAAACUAUUCUUAGAACACAAAGGCAAAUUUCUUGUGGUUGUAGGAUCCAAUUGAAGGGAAUACUAACUUCUCAAGAGUUGAGAGCAAAUAAAUUCACCAGGUUUGGUGUGGCAGCAGAUGUCGGCAAAUAGCAUUCCAUGUGCGUAUGGAACUAUGGACUGCUGUGGGCACAUCUGUGGUAGAGGAACAUAAUUCAGAGAACUUGUGUUUUGUCGAGAAGCUGAAAAACAUAAUCAAGCUGUUCUUUAGUGCUCAUAUUUGUUUCCAGUUUUUGUGGUUUGCAGGCGGUGAUUUCGUAUUGUAUCCUGAACCAGCUAUCUGUCAUAGUUUUGAUACGUACCCAAUUUCUUGCUGACGAAUUUUGUGGUCUCUGGGUUGAAUUUCAUUGGAAGAUUAUGGUAAAUGAGUCUCCUGAACAUUGUAGAUGUCUUGCAUAUUUGAAACACACCCUAUGUGGGCUCCAUUAGAAGCUCAUUCCUUACCCACUCUCUCUCUCUCUCUCUUUUUGGAAGCGAAACAACUUUUCAAGUUCAUCCUCUUGGUUCCCCCAUAACUGUCUCUGUAGACCCAUUCUUUUUCUAAUUUAUUUUAAUUAUCAGUUUUGAUAGGCAAUUUUUGUACUCUUAAAUACAAGGAUAUGUUGAGUAU